UACGAGAGGUGCAAGCGUUAUUCGGAAUUAUUGGGCGUAAAGGGUGCGUAGACGGUAUAUUAAGUCAACUGUUAAAUUCUUCGGCCUAACCGGAGAUCAGCGGUAGAAACUGAUGUGCUAGAGGAUGGAAGAGAGAAGUGGAAUUCUCGGAGUAGCGGUAAAAUGCGUAGAUCUCGAGAGGAACACCGAUGGCGAAGGCAGCUUCUUGGUCCAUUCCUGACGUUGAGGCACGAAAGCGUGGGGAGCAAACAGG
rnacentral:rRNA from 1 species